GGAGAAUUAGGAGUUCAGAGGAAGAGCGUUAAAUGAGGAAGAUCCACUCUGAAGUGGGGGACACCACCGCAUGGACUGGGUGCCUGAUAACACUACAAACUGGGUCAAUUAUAGAGACCAGAGGUUUGACUGAAGGACUGAAGGUCCAAGGGCUGUUGUCUAGGUGAAGGCCUUCCCGCCCUGUCAUAACGUGAUGAAGGCAC
rnacentral:lncRNA from 1 species